rnacentral:lncRNA from 1 species
GCAAACAUUUUCCUCGAACACUUCUCAGAUUCAACCUGAACAUGCGAUUUCUCUCCAUUUCAACUCGAGCGACCAAACACCCUUCCUUAUCUUUCAAGUGUAACACCCGAUCUUUCAUAAGUAUCGAAUAACCUUUUUCCAUGAGUUGCCCCAUACUCAAAAUGUUGUUCUUGAGGUCUGGUACGUAAUACACAUCAUGGAUUGACCCAA